ACUGGUGCUGAGCACUCGCCCACCUGUCCGCUUGCCGUCUCUAUGUCUGGAGCUCUUAGAGAUAAGACAUAGAGGUGUCUGGUUCUGAGAAAAGGAAGUUUUGCUAAGUGAGAGACACAACUGACUCAACUGACUCAGGAAAACAAAGUCCCCUCCUGUAUUGACAGCUGGGAAUUGUGGUGUCCACCGUCCUCGACCUGCGACGGGGUCUCCAUGAGCACAGAGGCUGCUCUGGAGUCAACAGAUCAUCUUUUCCCCAAACCAAACUGCUUGGCUGGCGUUGUUCCUGAAGGGGCUUCACUGGCCAGAGUGAGUGAGAAUUGGGGUAGAACGGAGCAGUCACCAGAUGUCUUGCUUCCUACGGAAAACUGAUUAUCUUCCUGGUCCCUGAACCAUCCUAUAGAGACAUCCAGUCCCUGACUCCACCUGCCUCCAGGUGCCCAGAACAGCCCAUCGUGGGGACUUCACCCUCAGCAAGUGGACGCCGUUUGUCCUGCCAGGGCAGGAUGGAGAUGGAUGAGGACCCGGAUAACCUGCCUGCCCAGGGGCAAGG
rnacentral:lncRNA from 1 species